UCCCGUGCCACCCAGUUUCAAGAUUUCUCCAGGUCCCUACCCACCAUGAACAAACAUUAAAAGUAGAAAGUGAACAGUCUGGCAAGCAAAAUGCGAAAGGCCAUGGACGCCCAAGGUGAAGGAUGACCAGGGCCUUCAGUGAAAUCCUUGAGCCUUGGAACUGAUCCAUAGUCACGAUUUUCUGUUCCUUCGUGUUCCAGGAAAGUCAAACGAGUCACAGGAAUAUGGAUCAGCUAUGGUCGAAUAAGAUCCACAUAAUCUCUUUCCUAGAAGAUCUUUCUAGAAGCUGGUUCUUCAAAAAUUACUGGAAAAAGCAGACUUUUUACAUGCUUUGCCAAGCUGCUCCAUCCAUAUAAGAGUGCCUGCCCUCUCAGGAAUCUUCAAAGAGCAACACAGGAGGCAAAUUUAGAGACCUCAGGGAUGUUGUUUAUAUUUCAAAAGUUCUUCUGUGUGUGGAGCUGAUUUCUGGACUGAUGCAAUGUGGCGAUGGUGGACCCUCCCUUCAAAUCAACAGCUCCAUCAACAGCUGGAUGAGGCUGUCUGGAUGAGUGGUGAUUAUGAACACUUAUAACAUGAAGAAAAUUUCAUUUUACAAGUGGGAAUUAACUGAAGGUCCUGCCCUAAGAGUGAAGAAACAAUCCUCCAACCCAUCCUGUAGAAUGGCAUAUUGAGUCCGUGGCAGUGAUAAUGAGUGAAUUUUAAAGAAAAAUAAAGUACUCCCUUCAAGCUGAGUAUUGAAGAUAAAUGUGAAAAGAAUUAUUAACAUUAAUGUACUGAAGAAAUGACCCUUAUUUUCCAAAGAUACUUGGUGUCAGAGAAGAAACUGGAUGCCAAUAGAAACGUAAAAGCAAACAGCAUGCAUCUGAAACCAUUUUGAAAGUCUGAAGUUCUCCUGCUGUACAACACUAAAUUGCUUUUGAAUCAACAG